UAUUUCGGUGUUUUAGCAAAAAUGAAAUACAUUUAUUCAUUCCGAACAGGGUGGUCAAAUUUUUUGUAGUGAAGAUACUUUAAAAGAAGUUUUAUGGAAAAAUAAUUUAUGCCGAGAU
rnacentral:rRNA from 1 species